rnacentral:piRNA from 1 species
AACGGAGCUUCAAUAUUCUUUAUC